CACAUGACUCUCGGCAACGGAUAUCUCGGCUCUCGCAUCGAUGAAGAACGUAGCAAAAUGCGAUACCUGGUGUGAAUUGCAGAAUCCCGUGAACCAUCGAGUUUUUGAACGCAAGUUGCGCCCGAGGCCUUCUGGYCGAGGGCACGUCUGCCUGGGCGUCACG
rnacentral:rRNA from 1 species